UACGUAGGGUCCGAGCGUUGUCCGGAAUCACUGGGCGUAAAGGGCGCGUAGGCGGCCUGAUAAGUAGGGGGUGAAAUCCUGCGGCUUAACCGCAGGGCUGCCUUCUAAACUGUCAGGCUUGAGCACAGUAGAGGCAGGUGGAAUUCCCGGUGUAGCGGUGGAAUGCGUAGAGAUCGGGAAGAACAUCAGUGGCGAAGGCGGCCUGCUGGGCUGUUGCUGACGCUGAGGCGCGACAGCGUGGGGGAGCAAACAGG
rnacentral:rRNA from 1 species